rnacentral:rRNA from 1 species
CGCAAGCCUGACGGAGCAACGCCGCGUGUGGGAAGAAGGCUCUUGGGCUGUCAACCACUUUUCUCAGGGAAGAAGCCCUGACGGUACCUGAGGAAUCAGCCUCGGCUAACUCCGUGCCAGCAGCCGCGGUAAUACGGAGGAGGCAAGCGUUAUCCGGAAUUAUUGGGCGUAAAGCGUCCGCAGGGGGCACAUCAAGUCUGCUGUUAAAGGCUGGAGCUUAACUCCGGUAGAGCAGUGGAAACUGGUGUGCUAGAGGGCGACAGGGGUAGAGGGAAUUCCCAGUGUAGCGGUGAAAUGCGUAGAGAUUGGGAAGAACACCGGUGGCGAAAGCGCUCUACUGGGUCGCACCUGACCCUCAGGGACGAAGGCUAAGGUAGCG